rnacentral:rRNA from 1 species
UGGGGAAUCUUCCGCAAUGGACGAAAGUCUGACGGAGCAACGCCGCGUGAGUGAAGACGGCCUUCGGGUUGUAAAGCUCUGUGAUCCGUGACGAAAGAGCCUGAGGUGAAUAGCCUAAGGAAGUGACGGUACCGGAAAAGCAAGCCACGGCUAACUACGUGCCAGCAGCCUCGGUAAUACGUAGGUGGCAAGCGUUGUCCGGAAUUAUUGGGCGUAAAGCGCGCGCAGGCGGCUUCCUAAGUCCAUCUUAAAAGUGCGGGGCUUAACCCCGUGAUGGGAUGGAAACUGGGAAGCUGGAGUAUCGGAGAGGAAAGUGGAAUUCCUAGUGUAGCGGUGAAAUGCGUAGAGAUUAGGAAGAACACCGGUGGCGAAGGCGACUUUCUGGACGAAAACUGACGCUGAGGCGCGAAAGCGUGGGGAGCAAACAGG